rnacentral:rRNA from 1 species
GAUGAACGCUAGCUACAGGCUUAACACAUGCAAGUCGAGGGGUAACGAGAGGAAAGCUUGCUUUCCUUGUCGACGACCGGCGCACGGGUGAGUAACGCGUAUCCAACCUGCCCCCAACUAGGGAAUAACCUUGCGAAAGUAAGACUAAUACCCUAUAAUUUCCUCAGAUGUCAUCUGACGAGGAAUAAAGAUUUAUCGGUUAUGGAUGGGGAUGCGUCUGAUUAGCUUGUUGGCGGGGUAACGGCCCACCAAGGCAACGAUCAGUAGGGGUUCUGCAAGGAAGGUCCCCCACAUUGGAACUGAGAUACGGUCCAAACUCCUACGGGAGGCAGCAGUGAGGAAUAGUGGUCAAUGGGCGGAAGCCUGAACCAGCCAAGUAGCGUGCAGGAUGACGGCCCUAUGGGUUGUAAACUGCUUUUAUACAGGAAUAAAGUUAGCCACGUGUGGUUAUUUGUAGGUACUGUAUGAAUAAGGACCGGCUAAUUCCGUGCCAGCCGCCGCCGUAA